rnacentral:tRNA from 1 species
GGUUUUAUAGUCAAUAAAUGAUAUUAGACUGCAAUUCUAAAGUAGUAUUUUACUAAAACCU